GAUGAACUUUAGCGGGAGGCCUAACACAUGCAAGCCGAGCGGUAUUGUUUCUUCGGAAAUGAGAGAGCGGCGUACGGGUGCGGAACACGUGUGCAACCUGCCUUUAUCUGGGGGAUAGCCUUUCGAAAGGAAGAUUAAUACUCCAUAAUAUAUUGAACGGCAUCGUUUAAUAUUGAAAGCUCCGGCGGAUAGAGAUGGGCACGCGCAAGAUUAGCUAGUUGGUGAGGUAACGGCUCACCAAGGCGAUGAUCUUUAGGGGGCCUGAGAGGGUGAUCCCCCACACUGGUACUGAGACACGGACCAGACUCCUACGGGAGGCAGCAGUGAGGAAUAUUGGUCAAUGGGUGCAAGCCUGAACCAGCCAUCCCGCGUGAAGGACGACUGCCCUAUGGGUUGUAAACUUCUUUUGUAUAGGGAUAAACCUACCCUCGUGAGGGUAGCUGAAGGUACUAUACGAAUAAGCACCGGCUAACUCCGUGCCAGCAGCCGCGGUAAUACGGAGGGUGCAAGCGUUAUCCGGAUUUAUUGGGUUUAAAGGGUCCGUAGGCGGACUUAUAAGUCAGUGGUGAAAGCCUGUCGCUUAACGAUAGAACUGCCAUUGAUACUGUAAGUCUUGAGUAUAUUUGAGGUAGCUGGAAUAAGUAGUGUAGCGGUGAAAUGCAUAGAUAUUACUUAGAACACCAAUUGCGAAGGCAGGUUACCAAGAUAUAACUGACGCUGAGGGACGAAAGCGUGGGGAGCGAACAGGAUUAGAUACCCUGGUAGUCCACGCCGUAAACGAUGCUAACUCGUUUUUGGGCUUUAGGGUUCAGAGACCAAGCGAAAGUGAUAAGUUAGCCACCUGGGGAGUACGCUCGCAAGAGUGAAACUCAAAGGAAUCGACGGGGGCCCGCACAAGCGGUGGAUUAUGUGGUUUAAUUCGAUGAUACGCGAGGAACCUUACCAAGACUUAAAUGGGAAUUGACAGCUUUAGAAAUAGAGCUUUCUUCGGACAAUUUUCAAGGUGCUGCAUGGUUGUCGUCAGCUCGUGCCGUGAGGUGUUAGGUUAAGUCCUGCAACGAGCGCAACCCCUGUCACUAGUUGCCAUCAUUCAGUUGGGGACUCUAGUGAGACUGCCUACGCAAGUAGAGAGGAAGGUGGGGAUGACGUCAAAUCAUCACGGCCCUUACGUCUUGGGCCACACACGUAAUACAAUGGCCGGUACAGAGGGCAGCUACACAGCGAUGUGAUGCAAAUCUCGAAAGCCGGUCUCAGUUCGGAUUGGAGUCUGCAACUCGACUCUAUGAAGCUGGAAUCGCUAGUAAUCGCGCAUCAGCCAUGGCGCGGUGAAUACGUUCCCGGGGCU
rnacentral:rRNA from 1 species